AUAAGGAGUCGGACCUGCCCAGUGAAGUAUUUAAACGGCCGCGGUACUCUGACCGUGCAAAGGUAGCAUAAUCAUUUGCCCUAUAAUUGAGGGCUAGUAUGAAUGGUUUGACAAGAAUAAAGCUGUCUCCGUGUAAUUAUAUAGAAUUUUAUUUUUAGGUGAAGAAGCCUAAAUUUUAUUAAAAGACAAGAAGACCCUAUCGAGCUUUAGAGAAAUUAAUAAAGUAAUACUAUAUAUUAAUUAAAAUAAAUUUCAUUAAAGAUUUUGGUUGGGGCGACAAAGGAACAAUCAAAGCUUCUUUUAAAAUAAAGAAACCUACAAGUAUUGAUCCAGAAUAAUUCUGAUUAAAGAAAUUAGUUACCGUAGGGAUAACAGCAUUAUCUUUUUUGAGAGCUCAUAUCGAAAAAAAGGUUUGUGACCUCGAUGUUGGACCAGGAUAUCCUGAAGAUGCAGAAGUCUUUAAAGGUUGGU
rnacentral:rRNA from 1 species